ACGUUGACUCGUAAUUGACUCGCGUUGUUUACACUUCAUGGUACUCGCGCUGCUCAGCUCGCGAUCGCUUCGUGUUCGUUGCAUCUUUCUACUCCUCGGUAGUGAGUCCGCGUGUAAUCGAGUGUCGGGAAUGUCGAAUCAAGUGACGGGCGAUCGUUUGAACGUGUCAACGUUAGACUGUAAGCCGUUCUGCAACAAUCGCUGUGUACGGAAUUUGCACCAACCGUCACGAUAUCUCACUUCUGCACAUAGUCAGCGUUGAAUGUCGUCCGCACACAGCGAGAACUUUCAUCAGCCGCAUAUACGCAAUCUAAGAGUUAAUCAAUUCGCUCGGGUGCGAUUAGACGCGAUGUAACCGGUGUUAUUGCGAACACGGUGAUGUAAGAGCAAAGUGCACUGAUUUCUGGUCGACGAAAGGAAUGCUCUGAGGUCUGGUAUUCAUACCUUUUCCGGUUUGCCUGCCUCGUCAGAGAUCCAAUACUUGAUCCUCUUACAAAAAAACCAAGUGGAUAAUAAGAGAGAAAUCAUCGUUGAAUAUCCAGACGCGGCUAAAGUGCACGCGUGUGCGACUGAUCGAUACUGCCGUCGCCAACUGGGAGCGCGCACACACGGGAAUAUGUGUGUCAUUGUGCUAUCUCAUAAGGGAGCUUCCGCGGCAUCCACUAUAAGAUCUUCCUAUGAAAGUGGGACUUAGGAAUUCACAAAAUUUAAUUAUACGUCGCCUAAGCAACUUUAAACAAGAUUUCGAGCUUUUCAAAGAAUUCCCUUCUGAACAUCAAAGUCACGUAAGACUGAUUACGUCACAGAGUAUUCAAGUUACCGACCACCGAGUGAGUGAGUAUCGUGUAUCUACUAAACGCGAAGUUAGAACAAUGCGAUAGUAAAUUGAACUAAAUAGUUAUUUCCUCAUAUUAAAUGUUACCAAAUGUUAUAUCUAUUAUAUCUCGGAAUUUUUGAAAAUAUAAGUAUUUAAAUUCAACAACGAUGCAGAUAAGUGAAUCUGCAUGGCACGUUCGAAGUAGUGCUACUAAUGUCAAAAGCUUCGAAGUAGUGCUACUAAUGUAAAAAGAGGGAAAGAUCUGUUUCUCUCAGUCACUUGGAAAGUUCCAGGUAAAAUAGUCUGAAUAUCAACGAACGGUAACCACUUUGUUCCCAAGAUGAGUUAAAGUCGAGCUUGUAUUCGAGCUUCGAGGGAGAAAAUGUUCGACCGUUCGAAAUUGGCUUUCUUACAUGCUGCAUGCUGUAAAGUAAGAUGUUAUCAAGAGCACAGGAAGCUUUGUAUGACAUGCAAUAUCCUGGAUAUGUAGAACAUGUAAAGGUACAAUACAGCGAUAUGUUGUCGGACGUGAUAUUAACACCAGAUCGAACUAGGACGUCGUGCAUAAAAUUUGUAUAGCAUUAAUUAAGCUUCCAGAUAAAAUGUACAACUAGUUUGAUGUAUUCGCGGGGUUAUCCUCGCGACCGACUGUAGAUUUGUAUAUUUGGUAACGACAUUCGCAUUUGAUGAUAGUUCUCGUAAAUUAGGAUGAGUAAAUUAGGAGAAGCUCUUAGCGAUAUUAGUGUUUAGCAAUACACGUUGAAUAAUUCAGCGGUGUUAGUUUUCGAGAAAUUUAUUCGUGCUCAGAAAUCAAUAAUAGGGAGAAAGUUUCCGACUGCUUUGGUAGAUGGCAACACGGACUUCUUUGCCAUUCGUUUUCGUGAGGUGAAACGCGCUCACGCAACAUGCACGUGGAUAAAGCUGUGCGAUUUUUAACUUGCGUUACGAUAAUGAAUGCACAGAUUUCUAUCGGCCUUCGUGGAAAAUAUGACAGUCAUGAAUGCUACGUGCGGCUGUUACUUCGUCGCAACGCAGACAUUACUUGAGCGUUUUAAUGUGGACAGCUAAGUAUGUGGACAACGAUUGGUAACUUCGAUGGAAGUGGACGACCGAUUAUGAAACAGUGAUCAUUACACGGCGAUCGUGACAGCAUGACUCAGGUAGAAGUCAGAACGAAGCGUUGUAUUUUCCUCCUUGUGCCUACGUGUAAUUUUUUUUCAUCAUAAAGGGAUGCUAAUAAAUUCAGGAGAACGCGCGGGCGAACCCCGACACCGUUGUGCCCGGCAUGCGAAAUUCAUUUAAAUAAGAAUUGCUGGUGGCGGGCGUUAUUUUUCAUGAAACGUAAAAAUAAAACGCGCAGCGGCCAUAUAAAUACGGGAUGAUGUCGGGCAUGCGCGUUAAAAAACACUUAUUCCGCAGAUAAAAUCAGACGUCACAUUUUGCGGCAGUCCCGCUUAAAUCUGAUAAGGUAAGUGCGCAAGUUUAACGAACACUUAAACACAAGAGUCUACUCCGCGCGUCUGGCGACGUCCGACAUUAUAUAAUACAUUAUUAACGCGUUUCUAAAAUACAAUUUAAUUGCGCGAAAUCGCGUAUUAAUGUUCUACAUUUAAUAAUAAUUGCGUUCCGGAAUCAUCACGUAGCGUCUGGUGGCCUGGAUAUAAGACAAUUAUUUUCUCAUAUUGCACAUCGCGCAAGCGCGAUUCUGCACAUACAUUCACAAUGUUUUUACAAUGUUAUCGUGUACAGCGAGGAAAGUUUCAAUAAAAAAGAGGAAACAAAGAAUAAAACAUUUCACACAGUGUGACACGUUUCUCCAACGAGCGCGCCUAAACCGAAUAAUUAACACAGACACUUGGUAUCGAGGCUCGAUAUCGGAUUUUCGGAGAUCUAGAUGCCGAUCUUCCCGUCUGAUCGUUGCGUAGUUUCACGUCUGGCGGUUAUUCGUGACCUUGGCCUCUGUUGGUACUGUAUAACGCAAGACACAUAAUGCCGUACACGCGAUCCGAUAUGUAUACGCGGCUGCAAGGAAAUCGUUGCGACACACGACCCCUGGACGCUCGUUCCGAGUUCCCGUUUUAAGAAGGGACAUACACCUAGCAAAACCGAAAAUACACGGAAAAAAAGAUUUGCUAACAUAUAGACAACUAAAAAUAUUAACUGCAAGAGCAAAUUUAACUAACUUUAAAUUUAACUAAAUUUAAAAAUAACUAAAUAACUUUUACUAUGUAAGCAAGAAAAUCUGUUCCUGCAGUUAAUAUUUUUAGUUGUCCAUAUAUUAGCAAAUCUUUUUUUUCUGUGUAGGCGUGUAUUUGUGAGAGGCCUCCGUCAAAAAUAUUACUUUUAUUGAAUCGGAAUUUCCACUAACAUUGUAUGUAUAAAGUUAUUGACAUUGUAUUAAAUUGGUAGAAGUAUUAAAAAAUUGUCUAGAUAUCGUCGUCUACAUUAAGCGUGUUCGUUGGUGCAGCAGUUAGCGGUACUUACUGUAGAAUCCACACGGCUCAUUUGAAAUAAAAAAGGCCGAAUAAUUGUUAGGAUACACAAAUAAAUUUAGUCUUUGUCGUAUUCAAUUUAUAAAAUUUUCAUUUGUUACAAAGUGGCGUUUUCUAAAAGUAAAAAUGUGGAUUUACGCAAAAAAAAUAAGCUAUUUCUCGACUAUAGAAACGAAACUAAUGCUUUAAGAAAAAAUAUCUUAUAACAAAGACUGCGUAAUUUUAUAUUGAAUAAGUAGGAAACAGAAUGGGAUUGAUUCAUUCGAUUGUUUUCGAGAUAUUUUGGGUAUCGAUUUUGAAAGUAUGAUUUCGUGAAAUCAGGCUUCUCUUUAAAACGCUGUAACUUUCUCAUUUUUUCGAGUUUAGACUUGCAGUUUUGAUAAAAUAUUUUUGUGUCAUUGUGAUGUCAUGCUUUAAGAAAAUGGAAAAUUGAAAAAUCGAUUGUUCUAACACGAUAUAUGUCCUUCCCUUAAGUGUGCCAGCGGGCGCUGAUUCUAAAGGAGACGAGAAGUUAAGGACCCUCCGUGAACGGUACGCGGAGACCCCAAUUUGCACCUACGUUGAUCGCGGAUUAAUUCUUAAAUUUUUCAACGCCACUGUUUUUUGUAAUAGCGACUUUCGUUAUGGGCAUGCCGAGUGUUAUCAGACACGAAACUUUCUUCUCGGCGUCCUAGAUCGGCUACGUGAGUCGGCCUGAAAUUACGUGGAGAAUUACGGUGCGACAGGCCGCAGUAUCAGAUCUCCAUUCGUCCUUUCGUUCUUUCUUUCUUUCUUUCCUUCCUGUUUUCUUUGUUGCUGCAAUGGCCACGCGGUUAGUUGCCCGCCGACACUUACUUUCAUGUAUGUCGCGGAAGCAUUUCGCUAUGCAAGAAACGCGAGCUGAUUAGUCACAAGUCAUGACCUCAGCGCCGACUCUGCACGGACUUUUAAAACGUUCUGUGGCAGCAAGAACCGUGACGGAUGGUUGCACUCUUCGAUCAUUUCCUACAGCCGACGCGAAUAAGAACAAAAGUUGCGGCUAAUUUAUAAAUUGUAGUCGUACUUGUAUACACUUGACAAAAUCGGCCUGACUCGACGAAAUGGCGUUAUAUGCAUUAAAAAUGAUCGUUAGAUUAAACAAGAUGAAUAAGAGCUAACGCAGCUGGAGGUAUGUGAGUUUAAGAUCCGAAAGCGUUAAGUUAUGCGAAAUAUUUCAUUUCGUUUUCCUUCUUUUUUUGAAGCUCUAUUCAUCAUGCCCGAUAACGUUGCACAUAUUUUAAAACACACGCACUUCUAACUGGAUUGGCUGUUUUUGCUCUUAAUUACUUAUUCCCCUUAAUUGUUCUAACGAUCGUAUGCCAGAAAAUUUUUUUAAUCUUACACAAAAAAAUAUGGUACACAUAAUCAAAAAUAUUUAAUUGUGAGCAGCAUAGUUACGUCACUUUAGUUAUUUUUGUGUAAUAGUAACGUGCUCUCUUAAAGUGAAUCAGUGAAACAUCAUUGAAAGCAGUGAAUAUAAUAAAACUGCUCAGUGCUAUAAUUAUAACUGAUAUCAGUGACUAUUCACUGAUUCACUUUAAGAGAGUGUGUGGUUGAUAUGACUCAGUUACUUUGGUAAACUAAUUACAUCAAUGUUGCGCGUACUUUGGUUGUGACCACCAGAAAUUGGUUGGGAUAACAUGGACCUUUGGUACACUCUAAUUGAAGCAACCAGCUCUCAUUGCUGCAAAGUCAGUAACGUAACAAUUGCAAUGACCACAUGUAAUCUGCAGUAACCACAUUUAAUCAUUCCGUAUUUUACUAUUGAAUCUGAUUGACAUAACCACAUGAAAAGAACAAUAUGGUUAGCCCAUAUAUAAAUCUGAUUGUGCCAGCCAAAUUCAAUAUUGAAUGUUUCGUCGUGCAGAUUUGUGUAUAUGGGCCAAGUAUACUGUUUUUUCCGUGUAGCAUUAAAAGUAAUUUCACCGAGAUUAGUCGGAAGUAUAAUUCGUAGGGAAUUAUUUAACGUAAAUGAUACUUUCGCAACUAUUUCCAACGUUAAGUUGUCCGAGCACGAAUAGAUUUGCCGAAUAGCAGGUAGUACGAGGGCUUCGAAGCGAAAACUUCGAACACGAUAGCUUAACACGUGUAAAGCCUCGAAUUUCGUGCUCGCCUUCUUCGUGGUAGCGUCACUUCCUAUCCGCGUGAGCGAGCUCUGACCCAUUUCACGAAGAAAGAAGCCAGGUCGGGCCUCUAUCGGCUGUCCAUCUAGUUGGCGUGUGACCUUUCGCAUCUCUUCGUUACCUCGUCCGCUUGCAAAUAACGGAUAAACGAACGAGCGUUUCAUUUGAUAAAGAAGCAUUCAGCAUAUCUGAUGUCGGAGUAACCAAUUAAAUGAUAAGAUAACGCGCGAUGCAAUAUCUUGCGAAUACGGGUGAUUAAUCCCUGUAAGAAUGCGGAUAUGCGGUUCGAUCUUGUAUUUUUAAGUAUUCAUGUUUGUGUACGAGAGACACACGUUCAAAACGCGCUUUCGGCGCUACAGGUGGCUGGCCAAUUCUGGAUUUCAUCUGACCACUGUAGAGCAAUUAGAUUAAUUUGUGAACAUGAAAUAAUAUUAAGUAUAUUACGUUUGAUGCAUAAUAAACAUACCAACCAAUGUUAAUAAAAUCCGAGCAUGAAUAUCUUCUGAAUCUUGUUGACUUUGACAUAUUAAUAUCGAUAAAUACUGAUACGUACCCAGAGGCUGAACAUUAAUUCUGUGAAUCUCUCAAUCAAAUAUAAACAAACACUUAAUGCACAAUACGUAAAAUUUUCCGCUAUGUAAUUUAAAAGUAUUCGGUGCACGGGUUUCACGUCGAGUCUACGCGAUUGCUGCCUUUGUCCGUGGCAGCCAUGAUCGAUUAACACAAUCCCCGGCAACAAUUAUAUAACUAAUUGGGUUUCCCUGUUCCGAGCGUGUGUGGAUGUACCCUUUACGUCAUCACUCGCGGAACACUCCGAUGGCUAUGCGCGCGCACAAUCGUCUGAAAUCCACAUUCCGUGAUCUAAUUUUGUCCGUGACAUUUUCAUUCGGCUAAUAGCUUUCGUCAUACACGGACAAAUUAGGGGUGUUAAGUGUCAACUCUCAGUUGAUUUCCAUCGGGUAGAGCGUGCUUCGUGUUGGUCAGCGAGUCACCCGUGGCGCGAGAACCUCACCUUUGCUGGUAAUCGUCGAUCUAGAGAUUCCUGAUAGAAGGACGUUAAUUCCUAAUAAUGUCAAUAUAAUGAGGCUCCAUUUCUACAGCGGGGCGAGAUCGGCGUAACUACAUACAGCGACAUUGAAUAGACCACAGAAAUUAGCCUAGGCUGCGCGACUCGAAAGCUUUCAGGAGCGAAAUGUACGACCGCGCUAUGACCGCUCGAUGAUGUAGUGCUUGAUGACACGUAGAUGGGACCCGUAAAUUGAGAUUGACGCUCAGAGAUUGGACAAAUUACACACGGAACGUGCUCGUGGUGAGAACGUUCUUGAACGCGUAUCGGAGCUGAAAACGCGAGACACGAUUAGAUCAGGAGUCCAAUAUCCAAUUUCGAGCACUUGACCAAACAGGCGAGCUCGCACGCAGUGAGGAAAAGAAAAACAAUAGCCGAGCAACACAUACGAGUGUGAGACGUGUGAGAUUUUGAGAAGAAAAAGGAUUCUUUUUAUAAGAUAAGUCGCAGUUUAUCUUGAGAGCAAAGGUGAAAAUCAAGGCGUGAUAAAUCAAAGUUGAAUAUUCUUGUGAAAUUCUCGCAGUGUUUCCACCUCAAUCUAGGCGUUAAAUAUUCUUGGUAUGGCUUACCUUUAAUCUCAUUAAAUUCACUAAUACUGAGGAGGUUAGUAAAGUAUCGCAAAUUCGUCUCGUGUUCGCGAUACUCCGGCAAUAAACAGUUUAUUGCCUUUUAUGGUGCGAUGCCUAAGAUAGUGCGAUAAGAACGCCACGCUUCGUUUGGUCGAUCGUGUGAAGGAUACAUACACGAGUAGUACGUGCCUUGACCUCUCUCUUCCCUUCGUUAUAUGACGUCACCGUGCCUCGAAUACCUCGACGACGUCAUCGAAAACUCGCCUUAAGAGCAUUGCUCGCUCAGUGGAAACGUAGCCGCAAUGAGUACAGUCAACGCGUGGCUCGCGUGUCGACUAUUCGGCCCUCUUAUCACGCUCGGUGGAGACCUAAGUACGCAGUUUUUCUUUAAUCAAUCUCUCCGGUCGGAAAUGGCGGUAUUCAAAUCACACGCCGCUCGCAUAUAGUCCCACUUUUCGUCUGCCCAUAAUCGUAAGCGCGUGAGUGCGUCAAGUAUGCUAUAACUCAACCGCGAAUGGACAUAGCCACGAAUUAUCGUGGUCCUAAUUUAUGAACUAGAAAAUACGGUCGAAGUGCCUCGAUCGAUUAUAUUGUGCAAAAAUGAUAUCUCUCGCGUCAUCCUUAAUGCUCCUUUAAU